CACCGCGGUUAUACGAGAAACUCAAAUUAAUAAAAAUCGGCUCAAAGGGUGGUUAAACAAACAAAUUAAAUAAGGCUAAAAACUAACUCCGCUGUCGCACGCAAUAGUUAAAAUAAACACAAUUUCGAAAGUAACCUUACUAAAAUAAGCUUGAACCCACGACAACUAGGAAA
rnacentral:rRNA from 1 species